GAAGACUGUGGCUUAGUGGUAGAACAUCUGUUUUGCACGCAGAAGGCUCCAGGUUUAUCUCCCAGCACCUUCA
rnacentral:tRNA from 1 species